rnacentral:lncRNA from 1 species
UACAAUCCUACUCUACAUAAAUGAUGAAGUGAAAAGCCAUCUUUAGGUUAGCCAUCUAGCUGAUCCCUUAUAUUCAUCCAUCACGUGAAGAUAUCAUUGCCCUUGUUUGUUGUGAGAAUUCCUGACAUGGUUCUCUGAUUUUGGUGUUUCUUCAGAAAUACCGGCUGCACAACCAGAGGGCGCCUGGAUCUAGCAUGGUGAGCCAGCCAAUCAUGCUUGUGAGAGGGCAACGGGAUUCCCCAAGACAGGAGCAAAGAAAGCUGAUAGUCUGGAUCUCGCCAUGGCCCCGUCCACUUCUCCACCUCGGGCAUCAUCGUCUCGUCGGCAGCCAUAUAUUCCGCUGCGAGGAGAAAGAUGGCCAGUCCAAGAGCUGGAAAUGACGAGGCUUCUACUGCAUCAUCAGUGCGUGGAUAUGAUCGCCGUGAUGGAGGCUACCAAUCACAGUUUCAUGAAUCAAGAGAGAAAUUUGGAGUAGUGUAGUUGUCUGUACACAUACAUAGUUACAUACAGGGAGAUGAGAUGAGAUCAGGCCUUGCACGCCCGAGAUCAAACUAAUGCAACACAUUCCAGGUGCUCAAUUCUGGCAGGCACCAAGGGCCAUGUGAUGCAAUUGCCAUGACGUAUGGGUGGCCUCACCAAACCUAGAAAAAUGUAUCCCACACUUUUAAUCUGGUGUAUAUAUAGAAAAUAAUAUUAUUUUACAUGAAAUUGUUUUACCGAGCAGGGCCGAUCGGUG